UAACCGCUUAUCUCGCUCGGUGGCGGACUCUUCCCGAAACGUCUUGAGAAAAAGCUUCUCGGCGCCCCCUCCUCUCCCUCCCUCAGAUCGAGCUGGUUCACUCCUCACUCCGCCCCGAUGCGCGCCUCCGCCUCCUGGCCGCCGCGCGCCUCCACCCCCAGACGCCACGGCGCCUCCAACUCCCAGCCGCCGCGCGCCUCCACGCCCUGUCGCCGACGCGCCGGCCGACGCCCCCACCGCGUGCUGCCCUGCAAAAAGGGAAGCGAUCGGCGGUGCGGCAGCUCCUGCUGCUGCUAGGCAGCGGCACAUCACACCAGGUGUGCCCAACAUGUGUUUGUGUUAAUGCCUGAAUAAGAAACUCUGUCCUACAUCUUAGUACAAGCACCGCUGACUCCAUAAGAAGUUGAAUCCCACAAAUUCGACUGGCCAAGCAAUCUAAAUUAAGCCAAUGAUUGGCAUCAUGUCUUUCAUGAGGCUGUAAUCUCAAAGGUUAUCUCAGUUUGUUAGGUGGAGCGAGAUGUAUGUGCUUUGCAUAGCUUUGUGGAUUAUAUGUUUGCUUACAAAGUGAGUUGCCUCAGGUAGAUGUAUUAUACUUUCCAGGUGCACUUGUGUUUUCAGUUUGUUUGUUGCAUUGCUGAACAUCUCGGGUACAGAGGCGUGGCGGGUUCAUAAUAUUGUUUCAAAGAACCUGUUACAUUCCCUUUGUUGAAAAUUUCAGCGUAUGCGCUUACAAGUGUAUGUACUUCACAAAGUGUGAUAGUUAAAGGUAAUGGUAAGCAGGACAAGGUACUUUCUUCUUAUCUCCUUUCAAUGGAGUAUCUAUUACUAUUAGCAGAUGGAAAUGAUCAAGUUGAUGUGUUCUUACGCAUGUAUGAGCCAUCUCAUUGGAGGUGUGUUUUAUUGUAUACUCGGAGAGCUCUUCUCUUGCAUACAACUUACUUUAUUCGAUGCUUUGUCAGUGUAAUCCAAAAAGAUACAUAAAUUUAAUAUACUAUGAAGUCAGUUUAAUCAUAAGAAAAUAUGUGCAAAUGCAAUGCCUUGAAUUUAAAAUGUGUGGAAACUAGCGCAUCAGCUUUGAAUUUAAAAUGAUGAAAUGAUACUUGAUUGAGAAUUCAGUGCGGUAUGAGUCAUAUAUUUAAGAAAUUUUAGAGAAAAAAUGCUAAGCGCUGUCGGUGGAUUGCAUACUUUGGGCAUGUUGAACUUUAUGGUUGCAAAAGGGAGUUAAUUAAUCAAUAAGGCCAAAAUUAUGUUUCUUUACCUGCAUUUUGCACAAAUGAGCAAUUAUUGGAUGUUUGCCUUUUUCAGGGAUUUGGUAAUGUUAGCUCCUGGGCUGCUCAACUGAUUGCCGAAGUUGGAGGGCAAGCUGAUCGCUAUUAACGAUGUCAUAAGUGCUGUCAAGAACAUUAGUGGCCUUGACAUCCCCAAGCUGGUGAAGCACCUGCCAGAGAACUGUGGGAUCAAGGGAUUUGACGAAGGCAACGCUGUUAACUCGGCCUUGCUGCUCAUCGAGGAAUGUGUCGUCCUUAUCCUGCCAGCACCGGGAGGAGUUGUAAACAAAAUGCUAAUGCCAUCAGAGAAAAAUACAUCAGCAAGCUGCCAACCACCCCACAAACCCUGAAGCUCACCAGGUGGCGUGGAUAUGGCUUACAAAUUUGUAGUGGUUGUCGAAUUGUACCAACCACAUCUUGUGUUGCCACCAGAUAUAAUAUUAAUGUGACUAUAUAGAAAUGGAGAAGGGUCAAAGGUGUUCGAUAUCAUACAUUCACGACUGCUACUCCUUCUGUACCAUGGAGACCAACCACAAGCAUUGAACAAAGAGCCUAAGAGUGGUGACCAACCAUCUGCGAAGGAGUAACAGAGCAAAGCAGAGAAGAGAAGGGGAGUACUAGCUAAGUAUUUUAAAAGGAAAGACAUCUUUCUAUUUUCUAGCAGCCAUGUUAGUUCAUUUAUGUGAUUUUAUUUUACCUUCUCUAAAGAGGCCUUUAGUCCUUGGGUACAACUUAUAUUUUUUACACAGAGAUGACCGUUGCAAUGGAUCAUGAAAUCUCUAUGUCUAACUUACUAAUUAAUUUGUUUUACUUCUAUUUAAUUAGGAAAGUGACAAGUUAAGUACAACAUUGUUUUUGCACAUCUUCAGGCAUUGGUUUCUGCUAUCUAAUUAGUGUUGUGUAUA